CAUCCCCUUACUUUCAGAAAGGAUGCUCACGGUGUGGUUGAGAAGCUUUACCACAGCUUUCAUGUGAUCUCCUUCUGCUCAAAUAUUGAAGAAAGCAUUUUGAAAAUUAUAUCCAGACUUGAAUAUACUUUGGACUAGAACUUCAGUGUCCAGAGGCUCUGGCCUACAGAUUGCCUGUCCAAUCAUCACAGCACAGUAGUAGAAGAACCACUAAACGUGGAUUCAGAAAACUAGUUGUAUGUGAUUUGGGACAUGUUGUGAACCCCAUCACUCACAAUAUCCUAAUCUAUAUUUAUAACA